AAUUGCUGUCCUAGUUUGUAUACGCCACAAAUUGGGAUAAGUGAAGUAAUAUAUAUUGCUGUGUGUAGUCUUUGCCUGUCAGCCCAUGAUAGGCUUUUUUUUUG
rnacentral:sRNA from 1 species